GUGGGGAAUAUUCCGCAAUGGGCGCAAGCCUGACGGAGCAACGCCGCGUGAAUGAAGACGGUCUUCGGAUUGUAAAGUUCUGUCAUUAGGGACGAAGGACUCAUGUAAAUAAUAUGAGGAAUGACGGUACCUAAGGAGGAAGCUCCGGCUAACUACGUGCCAGCAGCCGCGGUAAUACGUAGGGAGCAAGCGUUGUCCGGAAUUACUGGGCGCAAAGGGCGCGUAGGCGGAUAAUUAAGUCAGAUGUGAAAUCUCCAGUGUUAACUGGGAGCGUGCAUUUGAAACUGGUUAUCUUGAGGGCAGGAGAGGAAAGUGGAAUUCCUAGUGUAGCGGUGAAAUACGUAGAUAUUAGGAGGAACACCAGUGGCGAAGGCGACUUUCUGGACUGAACCUGACGCUGAGGCGCGAAAGCAUGGGGAGCGAACGGGAUUAGAAACCCCGGUAGUCC
rnacentral:rRNA from 1 species